CGCUGCGACAUAAGCGCCGGGAGGGGAGGGGCGGCGGCCACGUGACCCCGGAGUUGCGCGUGGGGUCGCGGGGCCCUGGGGUCCGCGGGGAUGGCCCCCACCCGCUGCGGGCGCGCUCGCCUGCUCACCCCCCCGCCCCCUCCACCGCCUUCUCCUUCCGCUCUGCGGCGGCAACGACAGCGACUCAAAUCUAGUUUCCCUGACCUGUAACCUCCAGGCGACCCUGCCGAUCAGCCGCGUGACGAAGGAGCAUGGCUUUCUCUGGGAACCGAUGCUGUUGGCAUUUUCCUUGGAGUUUUCCUGGCUCAGCUCCAGAACCACCCCCUCCAAGUUGUCUUCCUGGAUUUACUCAGCCCAAAGCUAUACUUCUCUUUCCUGGUGAGCGCUCUGACUGGAUCAGCUGAGCAGACUCCCCCAGUGUCCAGGAGUAUCACCGGGUGAAGGAAGGUGGUCCUUCUCCCAGGAGGAGGGUGACUAGUGGAGCCAUGUCCAGAUUUCUUGCUGGAAGUGAAGACCAAACUCCCAGAAAGACCUAAGAGGUAAAAAGUGGUUGAAGUGGUUGGCUGUUCCUGAUCUGAUGCAGUGUUUACCUGAACCAUAACCACUGGAGUAUACUAGAGAGAGAGAUAGAGAGAGAGAGAGAGAGUGUGUGUAUGUAUAUGUAUGCAUAUAUGUAUUUAUAUAAAAUAUAUAAGUGCUAUUAAAUUCUGUAUGCGUCAAGUUUUCUUGAAUCGGGGUGAGACUCACCCAGAUGUUAGUUCAUAAAAAUAAACCACAUCGGCUUUG
rnacentral:lncRNA from 1 species